rnacentral:rRNA from 1 species
GACUAACGCUGGCGGCGUGCCUAACACAUGCAAGUCGAACGAGGUAGCAAUACCUAGUGGCAGACGGGUGAGUAACGCGUAGGUAAUGUGCCCUCCUGCGGGGGAUACCGUUCCGAACGGGACGUUAAUACCGCAUAACACACUCCAGGGGCAUCUCUGGGGUGUCAAACUUCCGGGGUCGGGGGAGCAGCCUGCGUUCUAUCAGCUAGUUGGGGAGGUAACGGCUCACCAAGGCUACGACGGAUAACUGGUCUGAGAGGAUGACCAGUCACACUGGGACUGAGACACGGCCCAGACUCCUACGGGAGGCAGCAGUGAGGAAUAUUGCGCAAUGGGCGAAAGCCUGACGCAGCGACGCCGCGUGGAGGAUGAAGGCCUUCGGGUUGUAAACUCCUGUCAGUGGGGAAGAGAACGGACGGUACCCACUGAGGAAGCUUCGGCUAACUACGUGCCAGCCGCCGCGGUAA